GUGUGUCUGAAAGACAGUACUUCCUCUGGGGUAGGUGAGAGGAAUACUUUGAUAAACCUGGAGUGCAAAUUCAAAUGGCUGAAAUACAUCUUCUGCCCAGGAUGAACAACAGAGAUGUCAGAGAAAAGCUUCUCACACGUUUUCCUUUGAAGAUACAAAGAAGCUCAACCUGUUUCUAAAGUCCUGUCAUCAGUUUGAAGCAGAAUCAGAAUGAGGAAGAUGCUUGAGUUCAAGAAGUGGGAAUGGAAAGAAGAACAGAUUAGAAGUUACAAGAGUUGAAGGAAAUUCUGUCACAUCUUUGUCUUUGAGCAGAAGGCUAUCAAACAAAGCUGCCCAACCUUACACUCAUCCAUCAUCCUUGAGUUAUUAAGAAAAUAGCUGCAGAACAUUUACAAGUGGAUGGGAUGGAUUGCUGGCUGCUUUUCAAGAACACAGUCAAUGCUACAAAAACUUUGCAAGAUGGCAAAUGUUCUCAUGUUUCCUGUUCCUUGCUCUGCUACGACCUGCUAGAAGGAAUGGUUUCUUGAAUUUUGGGGUGACUAAUCUAGGUUGAUGCUAAAACUGUUAAUCGUUUGUGUCUAAUACCAGAGUAUAAUUUUAUCUGAGUAAAAUACUUAUUUUUUUGGUAACUUUUUCUUCAAAAGGCUUUGGGAUACAUUGGAGGCAAGGAAGGGGUCAGAAUAAGUGCAGAUAUCUGAGGGCUAGUGUUAUAUGCCUUUCUCAAGGUUAGGCUUAAAAAAAUCAAUGCAUGAAAGUAGAGGUUAAGAGAUUGCAAGUGUCUCAGAUGAGAAGUGUAACAAAAUGAAGGUAAAAUAGAUCAGAACUGCAUGACUUUUUCUCAGUGAUUAAAAGAGAGAGGUUGGAAUGGAGUGGAGUUGCCAUGUAAUAAUCUAAGAAUCUGAUCAGCAAUUUAGGGUGUGCACAAAGACAUCUAUGCUCCUGCAGUAUUAUUUACUCCCACAGCUUGAAAUGCUGGGAAACAGUGCAGAGGUUCCAUGCAGACCUGCACUGAACCAGACAUGGUGUAGCCCUGAGUGCUGUGCCAGCUGAACAUGAUUAUUCUGCCUUGCAGUCCUGCUUGGCAUAUCCACACGGUACUUUGCUGUGCUGUGUGACUUGCCAAAUCAGCUCAGUGCUAGCUUGGGGAUCUCUGCAUUAUGUUCUCUGCAAUUUAAAUGUACCCUUGGAAAUUAAGCUUAUUUGUUUGACUUCUAGAGGGGUAGGAGGUUGCUUCCUAACUAGCCAGCAUUGCUCUAAUUAGGUAGGACUAUCAGAAGACCAAAACAUGUCAGUUGUACAGCGACUUUACAUACAACAAUGUCUUGGCAAUCACUGAGACACUGCUCCAUUUGAGCAUCCUAUAUGCUGCUCAGUGAAAAGCUCUAGGUUCUUCUUUGCUGGUUUAGAUACUUACAAAUCCAGAGAUCAGCAAACAGUCAAGAAUUUGUUCCCAAGGGGAAGCAGUCAGCUGUCUGGAGCUGCCACUGGGCACAGAACAAAGUGGGGAGAGGUUCUGGAGUCCAGAGGAGCAGCCAUCAGUCAGCCUUAGUGGGAGGCAGAGAGAUAAACUGAUAUAGAUAGCUCUUUUGUUGUGGAGCCUUUUUCUCUGCCUUGCCUUUGUUCUGAGUAACCAGGCUCUGCCUUAGCAAGGCUGUUUGCUAAUGGACACCACUAUGCUCGUGGAGGCAGAAGAACUGAGAAUGAGUCAGGACCAUGAGAUAAUCCUGGCUGACCGCAGUGAACUGGAGCCUGGGAGAGUCAUGGGGCUCUGUGGCAGGAGACAUGGAAACUGGGAGCCUGGCACUAUGAGAGGGAGCACCUGAUGGGAUCAGGAAUGUAAUUUACACAGUUAUAAUGACAAAAUUUAUGAACUUGCAUUUUUAAAUUCUUCUUUUUUGUGCCAGUUCAGAAAUUGGCUACAAAGUUUUGUUUAUAGUCAGCAGUAAAUUUGGCGUGUCAGAGAGCAUUUAGUAUCAGGAAAAGUAGCAGUUACACUACUAAAACAUGACUAAUUUUCAGCAGCUCCACACUGUGAGUUGCCACUCAGUAACAACACUGCUUGGUGACUCCACCCUGCUUGUACAGCAAUUAGCUGGCUUUACCACUCCAUGUUGUGAAGGACCUCAGCAAACACAGCACAGAGUAGUGUUAAGGGAGUAUUUACCGAAGUUGUUGUUUGUGAAGAAAUAUCACAAAUUGAGCCACAAUUACAUGAAACACAAAGGAUAAAUUUCAGUGAUAAAUUCUUCUACUCAAGAGGGAAGCUGAAUGAAAAGCAAUGGUUCCCCCCUGUAGCUGUACUCUUCUCCCCGCUUUUGUCAUUUUGUUUCAUAUCUUCCCUCUGACUUUUCUUCCUACUGUAUGUUGCUGUGAUGAACAUCACACCUGAUACCACCCAGCCUUAGCAACCCUCUGCUUUGCCUUCUGGCUCUCCUCCCUGUCUUCCUCUCAGUGACUUGUAUUUUCAUUCAGAGAUUCCCUCUCAUUAAUUAAGUUUCCUGCUGCUCCCCCUCCUUCCUGAUGUGGCAUUCAACCCUAGCUCAACACUUUUAACAAAAUCCCUGGUUAUCAACCUGAUAUUUAUCAAGCAUAUUUAUCUUCCUCUUGUUUAAGUCUCCUCCAGCACUGGGCUUAUCCUUUGCUUCAUUAUUUGGUUCUUCCAUUACUCCCAGGCCAUAAAUUCCCUCAAAGCUUUCUUUGUUGUUGAUCUACCUCUUAAACUCUCUUUGAACUUCUGUGUUGCACCAACACCCUGAGUGCUGGCUAUAACCCUGACUACAGUCUGAAGAACAAUGUGUCCACAAGAAGCACUGAAUGUUCAUGCAAGUUCACUCUGAUUUUGGAGACAGUUUCCAGUCUCCUGCUGGCACAUCUGAUGCAAAGGAAAGUCAAGUACUAGUUGUCUACUUUCAAAUCUCUCUUCUACAUGUUAUUUUGGUUCAUCCCUAAGCAAAACAAUCCUGCCUUUUUCCUUACAAUACUUAGGAAGUAAACCUAUGUUAUAUAUCGAUUAUUCUGCUCACACUUUGAUUCCUAGGGCAAAUGAUCUGCCCAGGCAGUCCAAGAAAAAUUCCCUCCAUUUAACCCUCCUGUGUUAGCACCAACCCAGGGACCAGCUUCUUAGACCUCAUUUCUUUCUACUCUUCCCUUGUCAGCUUCUUUGUCAGCCAGCUUCAUGCUAUUGUGUCCCACACUGCAACCAAUGGCAAGCUCCAUGUUAAAGUUUAUAAAACCGCUGUCUUGCAAAUAAUUCCUUGUGCUUCUCCCUUUGCUGUCAUUACCUCAAAAGCAGUUCCAUGUACCAGUGCCUAGAAAGGCAGUGAGCUUAUUCUUUUCAGGACAAGCCAUGCCAGGCCAGAAGAGAGCAGCACAUUUUGUUUUGUCUUUUGAAAUUCUUAGUAUAUUAAAAGGAUCUCAUUCUGAUGCUAUUUUCUCCUAUUUUCAAAUAUUUAUUUGCAUUCCCACUGUCCCCAUAGUUUUUCUCAUUUUUCCCUUCCCUAUGAGGUCCAGAGACAUUAUUAUUGCAUCCCAUAUGAGCCAAAUUAUGCCAACAGCCAGGAGGUGUGGUGGAGGCUAACUUGGGUCACACAAUUUCACUCAUUUAUCUAGGUCAUCCAGUCCUUAGUUAUUUCAGGUAAUGAGUUCAAGAUAAAUCUUAAGCCAUUAAGACAACAAUAUUACUUGAUUCUGGGUUGUAUUUUCUGUGAACAGAAUUCCUAGGAGAAUUGAUUUCCAUUGAUUUCCAAGGUGAUAUGAGUGUGUUUUGGUUUUUUUUCAUUGUCUCAUAGACUAGAGAAGUCCCUUUCCAUGUGAAAUCAGGAAUGUUUGCAAGAAUUUCCUACAGAUUGACCACUGACAUGAAAUAAAUGCAUCAGGCCUCUGUAAGAAACAGCGUAGACCAUUACUGAAAGCAAAAACUCUCAGCUGACAUGUUGGCUGGAAUUAAAAAUCCUGUUGUGUGAAAACAAAUUUCUUAUUCUCUUUCUUCCUCCCUUGUUUUUAAGGUGAAUUUAACUGUAUUAGAGGGAGAAAAACUGAGAACAUGAUGCAAGAAUGACCCGGUACUUUUUCUGAGAGUGCAAAACCCAUCUUGCUAUGUGUUGUUGGAGGACACAAUCCAUCCUCAACCGGUUGGUUUAUACAGGGCACCAGCAGAGCUGUAAGCUCACAAUGGCUCGUUGUCACUAUCAAAAUAAGCACAUUAGAAUCACAAACACUUAAGCAUAAACACAUAAAUCUUGAUUUGCCAUGUCAGUCCCUUGAAGUGCCUGGUGCUGGCAGAACAGGUCUUUUAAAACUGAAGGCCAGCUGCUCAGCUAGUAUAAAUCAGCAUAGGAUGUCGUGAAGUGGAAAAACAUUGGUGCAGCUUAAAGGUUGUUUUAAAGAAAUCAGUGAGUAACUACAUGUUUAACAUGACCACUGGGAUGUGUAUAAAACAAUAUUCUAAGUUGCAGAAAAGAAGAUUUAAAUUAUAUAUGAAAAAAGGAAUAUCUAGUGGCUAGGCACCAGGCAGGCUGUGUUUUAAAUCUCCUUCACUGGAGGUUUGUAGGAACUGAUUAGACCAACAUCUGUCACACAUGGAUGGAUUCUGCUCCAUUGGUAAGGCUGAACUGCAUGUGCUCUGGAGAUCUCUUCAGUGUUUGCACAGCAUGAAAAAAUGGACUUCAGUGUUGAAACAAUUAUGGGAUUAGCAAAAAACACCUUGGCACCUUGCUUCCUGUUCAAGAUGGGCCAGAAGAUUCUCAUAUUGGUUCAGUCCCAUCACUGUUAACCUCUGUGUUAUUUAGCCAAAGUUUUUCAGCCUGCACUUGAUUUCUGAGCACAGCUAAGAGAGGAGACAUGCAGUGCAUGUAAAUCAUUCUAGCAAAUUCACUGGCAAAUAUUAAAUCAACCCAGUAAAA